rnacentral:rRNA from 1 species
GUGUCAGCCGCCGCGGUAAUACGUAGGUGGCGAGCGUUGUUCGGAUUUAUUGGGUGUAAAGGGUCCGCAGGGGGUUGAUUAAGUCUGACGUGAAAUCUCUGAGCUCAACUCAGAAAUUGCGUUGGAGACUGGUUGACUAGAGUGUUGGAGAGGUAAUUGGAAUUCCAGGUGUAGCGGUGGAAUGCGUAGAUAUCUGGAAGAACAUCGAAAGCGAAGGCAGAUUACUGGACAACAACUGACCCUCAGGGACGAAAGCAUGGGGAGCAAACAGGAUUAGAUACCCUGGUAGUCCAUGCCCUAAACGGUGUAAACUUGAUGUGAGAGGAAUUACUCCCUUUCGUGUCGAAGCUAACGCGAUAAGUUUACCGCCUGGGAACUACGGCCGCAAGGCUAAAACUUAAAGGAAUUGGCGG